UGACCUCGGAUCAGGUA
rnacentral:rRNA from 31 species